rnacentral:rRNA from 1 species
CUGCUGCCUCCCGUAGGAGUUUGGGCCGUGUCUCAGUCCCAAUGUGGCCGUCCACCCUCUCAGGCCGGCUACUGAUCGCUGCCUUGGUGGGCCGUUACCCCGCCUACCAGCUAAUCAGACGCGAGGCCAUCUUCCAGCGAUAAAUCUUUGACAUGUCCGUGAUGCCACGGUCAUGUGUCAUGCGGUAUUAGCAGUCGUUUCCAACUGUUGUCCCCCUCUGGAAGGCAGGUUCCUCACGCGUUA